rnacentral:rRNA from 1 species
GACGAACGCUGGCGGCGUGCUUAACACAUGCAAGUCGAGCGGUAAGGCCCUUUCGGGGGUACACGAGCGGCGAACGGGUGAGUAACACGUGGGUGACCUGCCCUCAGCUCUGGGAUAAGCCUGGGAAACUGGGUCUAAUACUGGAUAUGACUCCACGGUGCAUGUCGUGGGGUGGAAAGCCUUGUGCGGCUGAGGAUGGGCCCGCGGCCUAUCAGCUUGUUGGUGGGGGAUGGCCUACCAAGGCGACGACGGGUAGCCGGCCUGAGAGGGCGACCGGCCACACUGGGACUGAGACACGGCCCAGACUCCUACGGGAGGCAGCAGGUGGGAAUCUUGCGCAAUGGGCGAAAGCCUGACGCAGCGACGCCGCGUGAGGGAUGACGGCCUGGUGUAAC